CUGGCGAGCGCCUGUCAGAGGACCUACAAAAUCUGUGUUAGUGUUGUCUGAGUAUCAUUUAAUAAUUAAAACUUUCAACAACGGAUCUCUUGGUUCUGGCAUCGAUGAGGAACGCAGCGAAAUGCGAUAAGUAAUGUGAAUUGCAGAAUUCAGUGAAUCAUCGAAUCUUUGAACGCACAUUGCGCCCUCUGGUAUUCCGGAGGGCAUGCCUGUUCGAGCGUCAUAAGACCACUCAAGCCCAGCUUGGUGUUGGGACGCGCCCCGGCGCUCCUCAAAAUCAGUGGCGGCUCGGCUCAGCUUCAUGCGUAGUAAAAUGUCUCGCUAUGGACGCUGGGCUGGCGCCUGCCAGAAGCCUAAUUUUUACAGGUUGACCUCGGAUCAGGUAGG
rnacentral:rRNA from 1 species